CAUCUGUAAAACAAGGGGAAUAGAUCAGACAUUCUGGUUUUUUUUUUUUUUUUCCACAUUAUUAUGAAAUUUGGGACCAUCCCAAGCCCUUCUGCCAAGGUCCUGGGCUGCAAGGGUAAUUCAGGGCCUAGACACUUUCCAUAGCUUGAUUCUUGGCUUUUGUCUAGUUGGCUUUAGCAUGAUUCUGUGACCUUACUUGCCAACAACUAUAAGCAAUGACUUAUAUAUCUCAAUGCCUUUACCACUGCAAUCCCUGGGAACAGAGACCCAUUUUGAAGGCAAGGAAGCACUCUGAAGGGCUCUCCUUCGGUAAAGGUACACUGGUCAGAGCAGGCCUGGGGUGGGACUGGGUUGAUCGGGGGGAUCUUGCUGACUUGCACCUCAAUUUCACAGGAUCCUGGAGGUUCAAUUUAGGAAAGACAGCUGGCUGCAGAGAAGACAGGGGAGGGCAGAAGAGGAGGAACAAGAAAGGGACACAGGAAGAACUAUCAAACUCCCUAUUAAUAAUAGAAAAAUAAGAGUACCAAGUAUAUGACUGAAUUAGGGGCUGGGGGAAGUCAAAGAGAGAGAGAGAUGGGUGAGAGGAAAUGAAGAGGUGAUGAAGGCUCCUAAAAAUGAGCAUUAAUGAUUUUUGUCUGUUUGCAGAUUCAGAACUGUAUUGCCCAACACAAGAGUCCUGGUCAGUGCGUUCAAGAACAAAGGUAGGCUCAGUAUACUGGAAUUAGUAUAACCACUCUUGUUCUGUCUAGGUAAGAAGCCCAGGAGUAAGGAUCCAUUUAUGAGAGCUUCUUCUCGAUAGCAGCUCUCUAAAAAAACACAGGCGGGGACCACAGAUGGGAUUAGCAAUUUCACAAAGACUGACUGGAAGGAUCUAUGCUGGAAACCUUUUUCUUGAAAAUAAUCCAGGAUUUAGGAUGCCAGGACCGUCAAGUCAAGUUCUUCCCUGUAGCAUACACCCUGGUAGUGUUACUGAACACCGGGCAAGAGAAUAAUUUCAGAGCAGACUGUUCAAACCAGAAGGCCCCAUCCCUGAGACUGGGAAGUCCUGCUGCUAUUAGAAAGCUAGAAAGGGAAGCUUCUGCUUAUCUGUCCAACAUUCAGAGGGUUUGGGUAGUAGCCCUCAGAACAAAAUGCUAUUUGGGCAGCUAUUUAAUGCUGUAAGAAUCACCUAGAGCAGAACCCACCUGUGUUGGAUGGAGUGAAGCCCGGCAAGGAAGGGCUGUUGAGGCCGGGGAGCAACACAGGAGGAAUGCCCUGGAGCGCCGGAUAUGCUGUAGGAAGGUUAAGAGCCUGAAGAGGGGCAUUGUCAAACAUCCCUUGCUGCUGAGCUGCCAGUCCGAGGACCUCAUUGGCCUUUUUAAUCCGGUCCAACUCUUGUUGAGCCAUCAACUGACGUACAGUGGCGGGGUCAAAGUAUUCUUUCUCCUUGUCCAACUGGCUUCCAAUGGUGUCCUUAACUUUGGAGAUAUGCUGCUGGGAAAAGAUAUGGUCACGUACAGACAGCCGAGCGCUGUACUUGAUGCCACACAAAGUGCACUCUGUUUUCGGUCCCUCGUAACUUGUUUGGUUUAUACCAAAAUGCUUGGCCAUGCUUAACUUGGACUUCUUUUCCUUUGCCCGGGCAUUCUGGAACCAGACCUGAACAACUCUCUUUGGCAGUCCAAUAUCAUUGCCCAGGACCUCACACUCUAGCAUGGUGGGCGUCCUGUAGUCAUUAAAGCACGACUUGAGGACUUUCAGCUGCAGAUUGGUCAUUUGAGUGCGAAAACGUUUCUGCCCUGGCCGAUCCCCACUGUCUCCAGAUUUGCCUGCUGACCCACUUGCACCAGGACUCGGGGAGCAGGGGUCUGCAAGGCUCGAGGUUUCACUGUAGUCCACUGUACCUUCAUUGUCAUAUUCCUUGCUGUAAAAGCUUGGGGCUGGGCUGACCAGACCAGAUGACAACCGAUCUUCAUACUCAGACAUUGCCAUCAUGGCUGCUUUGGUCAACCCCUCACUGGGUGCAGAAGAGGAUUUGGUUUCAGUUGCUAUUCCCGUCGCGCUGUCAUUAUCUGCAUUGCCCUCAUCUCCAGUAGUGGUAUCCGUGAUUGCUGUGUUGACAGAGGAACAGUCAUCAUUGUCCAGCUUAGUUUGGUCAAAGUUCAGAUUAACGGAGGACAUGGAGGGGCUUUCAAAGUCUUCAAUCCCUUCCACCUUGAUGGAAGAAGGGCUAAGAAGAGUUCGGGGAGACAACUCCAUGGUUUUACUCACAGGUGAGAGGGGGACACCUUGGCCAUCACUACUGCUUGGGGGUAGGUGGGAAAAGCUGGCUCCGUCAAAAAUGUCCCCUUUCAUCUGCAGUCCCCCAUCGCAGUCUAAGAGCAUUGCAGACAGAGUUAGGUUGUAGCCUGCUCUCUUGGCUUCAUGCCAAUGACGGGACCGGAUAUGAGCCUCGAGGGCAGUCUUGGCUUUGAAGAGUGCUCUGCAGAAAGGGCAUCUUCGGUGGGCCUGCGCUGGGCCCACCGCACGGAACUGUCCUUUCCGUUCCCGGGCUCGGGUAUUCUGGAACCAGACCUGUACCACACGUUUCUUCAAGCCCACCUCGUGCGCGAUGUGAUCCAACAUCUUUCGAGUUGGAUUGGAGUCUAAGAGAUACUUUUGGUACAGGAUCUCUAGCUGUUCCGGUGUAAUGGUUGUCCUCAAACGCUUGUCUCUCUGAGGCUCUUCUCCUCCCGUGCCACUGUCGUUUUCUCCAGGGCUCGCACUGGCCUUUUCCUCCAGCUUCCUCUUCAGAGUGUUCAUUGUGGAGGUUGGAGUCGAAGGAGACGUGGCCGAGCUGGCUGGAAUCUGAGGACCCGGAGCUGGUCAUCGGUGAUCCUGGUGCGAGGCCUCUUGUUCUGCUGCUGGAGCAGGCUGGGGUUGAGCUGAUGCUGGUACAGCUGGGCCAGGUCCGCAGGCAGAGGCUCCACAGGUCCGAGCUGAGGGGGCAGCUGAGCCGGCAAGGUCUGCAGCGGCAUCGUCUGCAUCAUCAGUGGUGAGAAGAUGGGCAGCUCCAUGGGCAUGGAGAGUUGGCAUAGGAAGCCGGAAUCUUCUCUCACAGAGCCUGGGUCAGCAGAAGAGGGCUUCAGAUCUCCACUGUGCUCUGCACUUACAGAGGGCAAGAUGUUCUUUCCCAGAUCCUCUGAGGUUUCUGUAAUUUAAAAAAAAAAAAAAGAAAAAGAAAAAAAAAGCCAAGCCCAGUGAUAAAGAAGGCUUUGUUUCAAGGAUGGCAUCCACAGCUAUCUACCUAGUGAGUCCUUGUGACCACUGAAUCUUAUAGUGAGGGAAAUACCCAGUUGGAACAGAGCCUCUCCACACAGCCCCUGAAAAGAGUAUAUACUAUAAGCAAGUGCACAUGAACAGAGAGGACUAAAAGGAAAUAAAAAAGUUGCAUUCGUAAUAGGUCUGUAUCCUAUCUUGGAUCUGUUUUUACACGCCAUUCAGUUGCUUGACUCAGAAUCUUGAGUUUCUCAAGAACUGGUUUGAAGGUUACUGAUCUUAGACUGGAUUCCCUUUUGCGUGGACCCAAACUAAAAAAUAUGUGAAUUAAUGCUAUCCUAAAUUGUGGGGAUUUUAAGAUAACUGUUGUCCAUUGUAAUAGAAGAAAUUUUGGAAUAUGUUUUUUAGCAUCAUUUGUUGUAACAUAACUUUUGACUGUCUUCUCUGUUCCAUAAGAAAUGAACAUUCAACUGGCCAUUAAAUUAUAUAAAAAUUA